rnacentral:rRNA from 1 species
AACGAACGCUGGCGGCAUGCCUAACACAUGCAAGUCGAACGAGACCUUCGGGUCUAGUGGCGCACGGGUGCGGAACGCGUGGGAACCUGCCCUUAGGUUCGGAAUAACUCCCCGAAAGGGGUGCUAAUACCGGAUAAUGUCUUCGGACCAAAGAUUUAUCGCCUUUGGAUGGGCCCGCGUUGGAUUAGCUAGUUGGUAGGGUAAAAGCCUACCAAGGCGACGAUCCAUAGCUGGUCUGAGAGGAUGAUCAGCCACACUGGGACUGAGACACGGCCCAGACUCCUACGGGAGGCAGCAGUGGGGAAUAUUGGACAAUGGGCGAAAGCCUGAUCCAGCAAUGCCGCGUGAGUGAUGAAGGCCUUAGGGUUGUAAAGCUCUUUUACCCGGGAUGAUAAUGACAGUACCGGGAGAAUAAGCUCCGACUAACUCCGUG